GUGGGUGGGAAGAUGGCGGCCGCGGCGGCAGGUGGCCUGCCUGGGAAGGGACACGAUAUCAGCCUGGCAGCCCUGCGGCGCCACGACCCCUACAUCAGUCGCAUCGUGGACGUGGCCAGCCAGGUGGCUCUGUACACUUUCGGCCAUCGGGCCAACGAGUGGGAGAAGACUGGAGUGGAAGGAACCUUAUUUGUUUAUACAAGGUCUGCCUCCCCAAAGCACGGAUUCACCAUUAUGAAUAGGCUCAGCAUGGAAAACAGAACAGAACCCAUUACUAAAGACCUGGACUUCCAGCUCCAGAACCCUUUCCUCCUCUACAGAAAUGGCACACUGUCCAUUUAUGGAAUUUGGUUUUAUGAUAAGGAAGAGUGCCAGAGAAUUGCAAAACUAAUGAAAAACCUCACUCAGAGUGAACAGUUGAAAGCCUGUCAUGGAGCUGGAGCGGGAGCCGGAUCCUCUCCAGUGACCUUGAGUUCAGGGGAGGGCCAAGAAGUAGAUAUCCUGCAGAUGCUCACCAAGGCCAAGGAUGAGUACACUAAGUGUAAGACCUGUUCCGAGCCAAAACAGAUGACCAGUUCCUCUGCCAUCUGUGACAACCCUAAACUUAUCAAACCUGUCCCCGUGAGACCCAGCAGCAGCCAGAGGCUGCAAGGACCCACUCCCAGUAAGACCUUGGACCCUGAGCCUCAACACUUAUCUUUGACAGCGCUAUUUGGGAAACAAGACAAAGGUCCUUGUCAGGAAACUGUAAAGCCCUCCCAGACAUUUGCCCACCACCACCACCACCACCACCAUCACCACCAGCAGCAACAAGAGACGCUUCCAGUUCAUCACGGGGUCGCAUGCUCCCUGUCCUGUGAGGAACCCAGGAAGCUCCCACUCCCUGUGGAGAAGCAGCUCUGCCCAGCCAUUCAGAAACUAAUGCUCGGGAGCCCGGGGCUGCACCCCCUGCCUCAGCACCUUGAACAGUGGCCCUGCCAAAGUGGCAGCCCCAGUCCUGCAGGGGAACUUCUCCCCGGUCCUGUCCAGCGGGGGUCCCCCUGGAAUGGCAGGGCUGCACACUGCACACAGAGCACUUGCAGAAGCCACAAGCUAUUAGAGCAGCUUCAAGGUGCCCCUGAGGCAGUGCAUAAGUAUAGCCCCUGUGCGCCUACCGGUCUGGCUGUGGCCACUCAGGUGGCUCCGGGCCAGAGUGUGGCCCAGUCACAGCGGCUGUAUUUCAGUGGCCCCCUUCCACCUCCUGUCCCAGGACACCAAGCUCUCAGGAAGGAGCAGGGUGCACUGCCUGCACAUGCGGUGUCCCUCUCUGGCAGCCAGGAGAGCAGCCCCACCGUGCUCCCUACACAGGAGCUGCUAAGGAAGCUCCAGAUAAUACACCAGGAGCAGCAGGCUGCCCCCCGACCAGCCUUGGCAGCCAGGUUCCCUGUGUCAGCCCAGGGAUCAGGGACAGAAAAGCCCUUGGAAGCCUGGGUCAGCAAGACAGCAAGCAUGGAGAACCAGGCUCCUCUUCUGCAGGUGCACAGUAUUGUGAAGACCAGGCAGGAACAAGUGCACCACCCACAAGCUGCCAGAGAAGGGAACAUAGUGUGAUUGCUAGAAAUAGUGUAUCUUUCUGGGAGGAUGUUGUCUCUGCCCAUCAGCUUCUGGGAUAGUGAGCCAGGAUCUGUUGACCGGCUGCCUGUAAUGGCAUCUGAAGGUCUGCCCAGGUCUGUUUCCCUUGGUUUACCAUGGAGUGACUGAAAACAUGCUGCCUUUAAAGAUUGGAAUGGUCCUCAUACUUAUUUUAUUUAUAUUUUAUUUAUUUAAAACUCUUAAUCUUUUUUUAUUACGUAGCUCAGAGUAGGUCCUCAGAAAUUGUUCAUGAUUUUUAAAACAAAGGCCUUGUGCAUACACUGUAUGUGUCUGGGUGUGUGACCAUGUCAAGGUGUUCCUUUUUAUUAAAUCCCAGGCGCAAGUGCCUUCCGCGGGAAACCGAGGCUGUGUCCCCUCGCUCACUGCGAGACAGUAUUGAUCCCGUUCUAAAUGUCUGUUUUUCAUUUCUCUUUGUUGAUUUGGAAUCAGAAAAUCAGGGUUAAUAAUCAGACUUAAAUUUCUACAUAUACAAUUCUCUUUGUUUUCAAUUCUCACAAAUGCCAGGGACCAAAUAAGGAAAGCGUGCCUUCUGUCAGCCCACGCUGUGCUCUUCUUGCUGUCGAGACUCCUCCCUUUGGGAGCAUCAGCUCUCAACACCUCUCUUUGGGAGAUCAAAUAGGGAAAGCUAAGAGAAACAACAGCCUGUCUCACUCUAGGCCAUUUUCUGCCCCCAAAGAUGCCAAGGGAUGAUGAUAAAAUUAUAGCCACUUGUAAAUCGCUGCUUCUCCACUUUCUUCUCAUGAGUUUCAGAGUACUUUGAGGUUGAGAAAUGAGACACCUUUUUGUUACCUGAGUUAGAGACACAUGGCAGCUGUAGGAGUCAGUCAGAUACAGUUCAGAAUGUCACUUGCGUAAUUGGGAAAGCCAUUUGAAAACUUGGUUUUAGACCUGCCCGUCAAGGGAUUAUAUAGACUCAGCAGACAGAUGGGUCACAGUGUUCCACACUCCAUGUGCCCAGACUUUGCUCUUCACCCCAGGAUCUACCCUCACCCUGACUCCAUGCCCAUGACAGCCAGAAGCAGAAGGCAUGCGCUCUAUAGAUAAUUAGAGAAGGAACAGGGGCAGAUGCACAAAUCACAGUCCCUCCUAGGGACAGGGGAGGUGGCUCCGUGAAGAGCCAGGGUUGGGAGCUGUGUGUGCAUCUGACAAGCAUGUGGGCGAUAGGACCUAGGUCGGGGCAGUGGACAGCUAAUGCUGACUAAGGAAGGCCAGCAAUCCUAAAUGCAUGUUGCCUGGAAACUCAACCCUCGCCCAGGGACUUAGUUUCAUGCACAGAGGUCGUGACAUCAGCAGGAGGCUCCAGAGCUGUGUAAUAAUCACUGAGGAAAAUACUGAGGGUAGAACAGAAAUAGGCCUGCCAGCCUUUCCCACCCACAGCAUCUGGGGCUGUUUCUACUGAGCACCCCACAUUGUGAACAUGGCCCUUCACCUCGGGAGCUACACUUUGUGGGUUGCUUCCUAACCCUGCCUUGUGUGUGUCUUUGCUGUGAGCAGACCAUCUCAUCUCAGUGUGUCCCUGCUGCAGUGGCUUCUCUGCUCAUGCACCCUGUGGUUUUCACACAGUCUACCUGUGCCCCACUGAGGGAGACUGAUAAUGGGCUCAUGGCCCUAGGAGGCCAAGAACUUCCUGCUGCCUCCUCCAGCCUCCUUCCGCCCCUGCAGAACUGGGAGUCCUCCACCAUGGCCAGCAGGCCCCUCACCAGGCUGCAGCUCCAGGAGGCACUGCUGAACCUCAUCCAGAAUGAUGACAACUUCUUAAGCAUAAUCUAUGAAGCCUAUCUCUUCAGCGUGACACAAGCAGCCAUGAGAAAAGCCACGUAGCCAACUACUACAUGAGAGAGAGCAAAGACUGAGAAUUGAUCUUCCAGGUUCUUCAUGUGAACUGGUGUGACCAAACACACUUAUGCCUUUCUAACAAAGUACAGUGAUGCAGAGUAAAAUGUUUUAUACUGUC